CGGCAUUUGCUCCCUGGUUGAUCUCUGAAGAGUUCAGAAUUCAGAGCAGAAGUAGUAUGAAGCUUCUUGACACAUGCAUGCCAAAACAUGGCUCCGUUUGGAGAAGGCUUAGCAAUUAGCAUGUUUGAGGAUGUGCAAGAGGAGGUUUAUCCAGGACAAUCUAUAAAGUGCACACCAUGGAACCUGACAACUUGAAGCUCACCGAAUUUCUUGGUUUCACUCAUCAUGCAUAAGCCAGCAAAGUAGCCAACACAAUCGAAAAUACCAAAACCGAGAGUGUCAAUGGUUGUUUUGUCAGAGGACUUGCAUUAGGCAACCAUGGAUAUGCAUCCGGAGGUGGCAUGACACAAUUAUCACCAUUGAAGUACACGCGGUGUGGGAAGGCCCAUCCCUUGUCAAAGGUGAAGUCCUUGGAAUCCUUACGCAGAAGAAGUUCUGACUGUGCAUUUCCAAGUGGACCAGCUUGCAUGAGCAAAUCGUUAUAGAACUUAACUCCCCAGAACAUCGCAGUAUCAUCUAAAAUAGAAGGAAUAAACUUCAUCAGAGAAAGAGAGAGAGAGAGAGAGAUAAAGGAACGUAUUACAAGUGCACUCCAAUUUUCUUAAAUAAAGGAGAACAGUUUGUAAAUUGACUUACUUAUCUUGCUUCCAUAUGGAGUAAGUGGCUUGUAGUUGAAGCUAAACAGCUGGGUGAUAUUAUUGAAGUUAGGAUGUUGAGCGACCAAAUUCCACUGUGUGUAAUUCAUGCGGUAGUUGAAGUUCGUAAUCGUGAUCUUCACUCUCCAAUAUUCCUUAUAGUUGAGUUUCACAUGCCAGUGGAUUCUGAUCGGGCACAUGUGAGAAGUACAUUGGACAAGAGGCUGACCGGUCCAUUUGCCAGGGCCAUCAAUGGCAGAUUGUAAAUAAGGUGAAUUCUCACUGUGGAAAUGCAUGGAACUUGUUAGCAAUUUUGCAGAAAAGUUGGGCCUCAACAAGAAGCGAAGUAAGAGUUUUGGUUUUAUUAACUCACUUUACACAGCUUCCAGGACUUGUCCCAUUGUUUUGGCAGCCACAAGAGCAUGUUGGGCAGUUCACAAUUGUGUCAUUAUAAAAUGAUGAGAGAGAUACACAGCAGGAAGGAGUCUUCUGAGCAAGAAAUUGGGAGUAUGUGCAGGUCACAUUCCAUGUCACUGCAAACAGAUUUUAUUUUUGUUAAGAAACAAAAAACAAAAAUGAACUUUAUGGUAUAAGAUUUUGACAAAUUUAACUUCUAUAUGGAGCCACUAUGAUGCAUGUCUGCAUUUGACGAAUAUUAUUUGCUAGAGAAUAAUAUUAACUGAAUUAGCUGUAUUCUAUUAGGCCAACAUGCCAAGUAAUAUAACCUAUUAUCAACUAUUAUUCACAGUUGGACUCAUCUCACUUUGAGAACAAUCUCUUUCCCUUCAACAGAUUACAUCUUCUUACUAACCCUACACAUAAGGUAACCUAGUUCAACCAUGCAAUUGUUGUUUAGGCUGCAAAUGCAUUUCCUCAAAGAAUGAAAGCAAUUGGUAUUAAACAUUAAAGAACAACAGAUGAGCUACUUACUUAGAGCUUGGGUUGCUCUGCGCCCAUCCCCGGUGAAAAACUUAGUAGGCCUGACAAUCAUAGCACGCCCGCACGUGUACCCAGGACCUGGGGCCUUAAGAGUGAAGUUCUUAGGCAACUUAACUGUCUUGUUGGUAGUCCCAGCAAGACCUACACUGAUCUGGAAGGAAGAAGCAGCAUUUGAUGGGUCCUGGUUAAAUGUAUUUAUAACUCCAGCUUUGCAGCAAUUAGCGAUUUGCAUGUUGUAUGGGGUGCCCGGAAGCAGA